ACGUUCGACUUCCGGUUUUAAAAAGGUAUUGCAUGUUAUUUCAGUGUUUCAAAAACAUCUGUAUAAUAUGGCUGUACAUACACAAUUUAUGUGAUUUUAUACACAGGGAAGUUAAUGACAGUUAGGGGAUUUUAUGUAGUAACCGUAGUGAGUUCGCUGUAGAUCACAAUGCCUGUAGCUGAUUCUUCCCUAAUUGAUGACAUUGAGGACAUUGUCAACAAGAAUUCCUCUCCAGGUGAAAUUCGCGAGGAGAACAAACGAUUGGUUGUCCCAAAAUCCAGGCGCAUCAAGCAAACCAGAGAGGAAACAGUUCAAGCAGACAGCAUUAUACCUGGUACACAGAAGGUAUGGCUCAAAACCUGGGGAUGUUCUCACAACAACUCAGACAGUGAAUAUAUGGCUGGACAACUAGCCUCUUAUGGAUACAAAAUCACAGAUGACAGUGAGUCAGCGGACCUCUGGCUCCUCAACAGCUGUACGGUCAAAAACCCUGCAGAGGACCACUUCAGGAACGAGAUCAAGAAAGCGAGAGAGAAACAGAAGAAAAUCGUGGUGGCAGGGUGUGUGCCCCAGGGACAACCAAGGACGGACUAUUUACAGGGCCUAAGUGUAAUAGGUGUACAACAGAUUGACCGGGUCACAGAGGUCGUAGAGGAGACACUAAAAGGUCAUUCUGUUAGACUAUAUGGUCAGAAAAAACUAGAAGGGAAAAAGGUUGGAGGAGCAGCCCUGAGCCUGCCCAAGAUCCGAAAGAACCCACUUAUAGAAAUCAUCGCAAUCAACACUGGGUGUCUCAAUCAGUGUACGUAUUGCAAAACAAAACAUGCUCGUGGAGAGUUGGGUAGUUAUCCCCCAGAUGAGAUUGUGGCGAGAGCCAAACAGUCGUUUGAGGAGGGUGUCGUUGAAAUAUGGCUGACUUCUGAAGAUCUUGGUGCUUAUGGUCAUGACAUUGGAGUGACCCUACCCCAGUUACUAUGGAAACUAGUGGAGGUUAUUCCAGAAGGUGCCAGAAUGAGGCUAGGAAUGACAAACCCACCUUACAUCCUAGAGCACCUUGAGGAGAUGGCCAAGAUUCUGAGGCACCCGAGGGUGUACUCCUUCCUCCACGUCCCUGUACAAUCCGCGUCCGACAGCGUACUCAUGGACAUGAAGCGGGAAUAUUGCCAGGCGGAUUUCAGACAUGUGACAGACUUUCUGAAGGAAAGAGUGCCAGGAGUUACCAUAGCAACAGAUGUAAUAUGUGGAUUUCCCACAGAAACUGAAGAUGAUUUUGAAGAAACCAUGCAACUUGUAGAAGAAUAUAAAUUUCCCAGCCUGUUUAUUAAUCAAUUUUUCCCAAGACCAGGGACACCAGCUGCAAAGAUGCCAAGAAUACCUGCUCAAUUAGUCAAACAAAGAACAAAAAAAAUUUCCGAGCUGUUCCAUUCAUAUAGACCUUAUGAUCACAAGAUGAGUGAGAUACAGCAGGUGCUGGUCACCGAGACGUCACAUGACCAGCAGUAUUAUGUAGGUCACAACAAGUUCUAUGAUCAGGUCCUAGUUCCAAAAAAUGAGAAUUUGAUGGGUAAGAUGGUGACAGUUCGGAUUGUGGAGACAGGUAAACAUUUUCUGAAAGGACAACUUCUGUCAGAUAAAGGCAUUGUUCAACCCGACGUUCCUCUUCCAUUAAAGAAAGGCCAAGUGUCUGGGGCAUCAGGGCUAGUGCAGAUUGAAAACAACUCAAACCACAAUAUCUUUAUGGCGGUGUCGUUGUUUGCAGUGCUUAUUGCAAUAGUGUGGAGAUUUUACAGUCUAUUUCUGGGAACCACAUGAUAAACUUGACUGAGAUUGAAGAAAUACUAUAAAUCAUGUGGUUGGCUGUGAUAGAACAGAAAACAGGGAUCUGUGUUCUGUAUCUAAGAAACCUGCAUCUUGUGUGGUGAAAGCAUGAUGUAUCAUCUGGGAUUGUUAUAAUUUCAAAGAUGAAAAAGAGUUUUAGUUGAUAAAUAGAUUAGACUGGAUAUUUUUGAACAUUUAUGUCAACUAUACCCAUCCUUAGCAAGAAGUUAUGGUUUGUCCAUAUUACCAGUACUACAAGUUUUUAUCUUUUGUUUCAAAACUUCUCAUCAUUUUCUAUUUCAAUUAUUUUAAAAUUUGAAUGAAAUUAGUCAGUAUUAUACAUGCAUGUUG
rnacentral:misc_RNA from 1 species